rnacentral:rRNA from 1 species
AGCGAACGCUGGCGGCAGGCCUAACACAUGCAAGUCGAACGAAGUCUUCGGACUUAGUGGCGGACGGGUGAGUAACACGUGGGAACGUGCCUUUAGGUUCGGAAUAACUCAGGGAAACUUGUGCUAAUACCGAAUGUGCCCUUCGGGGGAAAGAUUUAUCGCCUUUAGAGCGGCCCGCGUCUGAUUAGCUAGUUGGUGAGGUAAAGGCUCAACAAGGCUACGAUCAGAAGCUGGUCUGAGAGGAUGACCAGCCACAUUGGGACUGAGACACGGCCCAAACUCCUACGGGAGGCAGCAGUGGGGAAUCUUGCGCAAUGGGCGAAAGCCUGACGCAGCCAUGCCGCGUGGAUGAUGAAGGUCUUAGGAUUGUAAAAUCCUUUCACCGGUGAAGAUAAUGACUGUAGCCGGAGAAGAAGCCCCGGCUAACUUCGUGCCAGCCGCCGCAGUAACAC